UGCCAGCAGCCGCGGUAAUACGGAGGGUGCAAGCGUUAUCCGGAUUUAUUGGGUUUAAAGGGUGCGUAGGCGGAAUUGUAAGUCAGAGGUGAAAUCUUGCAGCUUAACUGUAAAAUUGCCUUUGAUACUGCUAUUCUUGAGUACAGUUGAGGUAGGCGGAAUGUAUAAUGUAGCGGUGAAAUGCUUAGAUAUUAUACAGAACACCGAUUGCGUAGGCAGCUUACUAAGCUGAUACUGACGCUGAGGCACGAAAGCGUGGGGAGCAAACAGGAUUAGAUA
rnacentral:rRNA from 1 species